UGAUAAAAUGGCUGAUUAAAAGCGAGGAACUGUAAAUUCUUUUAUAAACUUUGUUUUUUUUAUU
rnacentral:tRNA from 1 species